UCAGUCUGUCUCGGCGGGAGGGGGGGAAAGGGAAGCCUUUCCUUGCCAAGCUUUCAAGCCUCUGAAGCAGGAUGUCGCUGAAUUGUCUACUUUUUUUCUCAUGAUAUCUGUUUCAGAAAGACGUCCCUGCGUUCGUUUAGCUGCUACAAGGAUAGCCACUAAACAGGGAGGACUACCCUUCCCAAUGUACUGCGUUGUCUUAGCAGUAACCAGAAAAACACUUCCUAGUUCCUGAUAAGGGCCACGUGUGAUAAUAUAUCUUGAAAAUGCCAAGAUACAAAGAAAACAGUACAUCCCGUGCCACUUAGGAUUGAUAAGAGGGUGCUGUAAAACAUGAAUAAUUCCUGUCAGAACGCCUCUGAAAAUACUAUACAAUCACUUUUUAAAAGUGAGUCAUGAAAGAGUUUCUUCACUCUCCCCACUAUCAGAACUACAGUAUCAAUGUUCUUCUCCUGACAGGACCAUUAAUUGUUAAAGAAAAGAAAAUGAGACAUUUUAGUCUUCUGCCUAAGCGUUGACCAUUUUAUCUUGGAUGAUCCUGCUAGGAACCCAGACUUGUAACAGAAUCUAGCUUCCUGAGCAUUGCUUUCAGCUUCCUUGACAUACUCAACCUCCCUCACCAUAUUAAGAUGUGCAUCGAAGAGUGAUAGGAGACGAUCCAAAGUGAAACAAGAGAUAGUGCUGGAAGAUGAGACUUUGGGGUUGGAAAGCAUUCAAUCAGCUAUUAGGAAGAACAACAGAUAAACAGAAAUAGGACUGCACCUAUGAAUGCACACAGAAGCAAAGUGAGAAUCCAGUGCUGCACAAAUGGAGUGUAAGAAGAAUGAAUUAAAGUAAAGCAAGAAAUUGAACAUUUAAAUAUUGCAGUAUUUGGUGUGAGAAAAAUAAAGUGGACUGAGAUGAGUCAGAUCAUUAUUGUUCACUUUUAUGUAGGAGAACAAGCAACAAGUCACUCCAAUCUCCAUAUUGUCCAUGACAAUUCCCUACUAAAGCUUGUGGACAGACAAAUCACUUGCUGCCUUCUCAAGUCAUGAAAAUCUUCAAUACAUUACAUUCCUUACAUCAGAGUGUAAUGCAGGCUUUUCAUAGCAAUGUGCUUCUCGUAUGUCACACAGAUUCUCUGAUGCUAAUAUUGGGAAAAUAGCAAUCUUGCAUGCAGUAACACUGAAUGUCAGCAGCAGGAAGCUUUACAACCUAAUGUGAUUGUGCUUUGCCACUAAUUUGGCUGGUGAAGUUCUUUUCCCACCUGUGGCAUUUGAGUCAAGCCUCUGGUCCCUCUUCCUAUUUUACUUUGUUUUGUUGAUAGCCUCCUUCUUCCUCUGAUCUCCAGCUAAGCAACAAGCAUGGAGGGUCUCUCCAUGUGCUGGAGACCCAAUUUUUCUCUCUUUUUUUAAUCCUUCUGACUGUAACUACAAAUGUUAACUGUAAGUAUACAUAUCUUUUUUUAAUCUCAAAUGCUUCAAGAGUGAUUUUAUUAUAUAAAGUGCUAUUUUUGUUGAAAAGAAACCAAAGGGGUGGUGUAUGUGUGAUGAGACUGAGCUGAUACCUCUAUUUUUUCCAUGUUUCUUUUUUUCCCUAUCUUAUACUCUGCUAACUAAAAGAAACAACCCAAAUCCCCCAAUAACUGGUUGAUGCAUUCCAUACCUUGUUAUGAGUAGGGAGUAUCCAUUAAUAUAUGAUGUUUUGAUUGAUAAGCAGAUGGAGUCCCAUCUCUGAGCUUAGGCCCAAAUUCUGAAAUGAUAUUGCACAAAAACUGACUGUAAAUUCAUGUACCAACCACAGUUCAACCUAGAUAAUAUUCAGUUCAGCUAACAUUCAGUUCUGCUUUCAGGUUAUUCAUUUUGUUGUCAACCCUUUGAAUUGUUUGGUUUUAUCCUUCAUUUAAUCUA